AUUCUCCAUGGAGCCUGAGCAGCCCCUUCCCUGAAGGGCCACGGUGCUGGGGAUAGCCCUGACCGUGCCGUCCUGCCACCCGCCAUCGUGGCCGCCCCACAUGCACUGUGGCUGCUGCACAUUCCCUCCCAUUCCCUUUUUUUUUUUUUUUUUCUUAAUAAUUGUUCAGUCGGUGGGGAUUUUUAUUCUCAUAUUCCUGAUUUUUUUAUUAUUUUUUUAUUUUGAUUUUUUUUUUUUUUAAUUAAGCCCUCAGUGUAAAACAGGCAGAGGCUAAAAGUCUUUACACAGUUUAAACAGAACAUUUUCGGAUGAUUUUAUUGGACUGUCUGCGUAAUGUGGGCCACAGACAUUCACCCUGCUGCCCCUCAGCAGCGUACAAUAAGUUGUGUGAGUCAAGCUGUGCUCCCAGAAGGAACACAAGUCUUUAUCCAAAGAGGCUGAGACAGGGAGACUCCAGCACUUCCUGUAACAGCCGGCUCAAAUGCUUCAUUGCCCCGACUUCCUUGUACAAAAUAAAGCAAAUAAAAAUAGUUCCCUUCUUUAUUUUUUAAUUGGGACUUGUCUGGCUUCGGCAUUUAUCCGUCAGUUCUUGUUACGGCUUUCUCUGGGAGAUUAGAGAGUUCUUCGGUACCUGAUAUUUCUUCCCUAGGAAGAAGUGCAUGUGCAGAAGCAAGUCGCCCCUGGACCUUGUUAAUAAACUAAGCAAACAGAUCCCUUCCCAUCUCGCAUGUAGUAUGUUUUUUCCCCAGUUUUGGUAAAUGUUGAGGGCUCUUCACUCCCGUCACUGGAAGACAAGCAGAAAAGAAAAGAGCAGGAAACAGAAAGAAGUCCAAACCCCUGGAAAAUCAGACAGCCACACACUCCCUCCCCUUUGUCUGCAUGAAUACAUUGUUCCCCUUCCCAUUGUCUUCGUAACAAAUUUGGGGAAUUAUCCCUGGUGCCAUUUCCCAAAUCUCGGUAUCGCUUCAGAUUAAUUAUUACCAGCGAGUAGCAGAGAGGGAACUGGCUGUCAGCAUUUGAGCGAGGGGUAAAAAUGAGGGCCGGAGCGUGCAUUUAGCCACACGCACGUUUGCAGGGCAUGGGUGGGAAUGAAAGGGAGCGUUGCAGAGCGCUCCAGCAUCCUCGUGUGCUCGCCCGGCUGCUCCGCUCCGCCACAGGCACACAGCUGGCCGGGAACGAGCGAGCCUGUGGAGCUCCUGUGCAGCCCGACAGGCUGAAACGUCCCAGAGAAGCCGUACAGGCAGAUCUGCCGAGGAGGAAAAUACAACAGGUUGAGCUCUGUCACCGGAGAUACGUCAUGGCUUUUCUGGCCUGUUGGAAGAGGAAAUUCUGCCAGGGAGCGAGCCUGACUCCUUCACUUCCGUGUGAGGCAAGGAAGGAAAGUUCAGUCUCUGAGCUGGUACUUUAUGGCAGGUGCAUUUAAAGCUAUAUCAGGACAGCCCUUCUUUCCUGGGAGACCUUCCAGACCCACGCUUAGAGAAGGAGUUCCCAUAACAGGACUUCCAGCUGUUCAGCUGGUGGUAACAGAUUGGCCUGUGCUGUGAACCAGGCAACAAGCAACUAAGUACUUCCCAGUGGGUUAUAUACAUUCUACUUGUCUUGGUCUCCAAUUGCUUCUAUAUCAGCUGCUAUUCCUACCACCAAGAAUAUGUAUUUGUGUAUUUUCUGUUCUUUCUUAAUACUUAAAUCUGAAGGGCUGGGUUGUUCUCUAGGCUAUGCCAGUUGGAGUGAAGAUCAUCUGCAAUGAAGAUCUUCCAGAAUCAUAUCUUCAUGAUAAAGAUAUGUGAUCCAAAGGAGGCUAAUUUACAGCUAACAACUUAGCUUGCUGUGCUGAAGCCCCAAGGUUCAUCUGUGAUCUCUUGCACUUUGCCAUCAUGAAUGUCACCAGAAAGGUGCUUGCUGGCUAUAUGUACAUCCCCUUUCCCACAUGUCUUGGUGAGAGCACAAAAGGAAACCUUAAAGGUAUCUACUACUCAGGCUAUACCAUUGAUCAUCUUCUCCAGUAUUUUCUUUCUUAGUGCACAAGGCAAUGCUGUGACAGUGAGAAGAAAGGCAUCACCCAUCAGUUCUUGUGAUGGAGGAAGGCUGUGCUGGUGGAAAGAAUGGUUUUUAGAGGUCUGUGUGGAACACAGAGCACCCUGCAUGUGUUGCUCCUCCUGCAGAGUGCACCAGUCUUCUUUUCGCUGUUUGUGAAUCCAUCAGGCAGCCCUGCAGCUCCACAGCUUAGAGCCAAGUCUGGCUGGCUGCAUGAGGCACAUGGGGGACGGGCAGAGGGACAAAGGGGAGUGCAGAAUUGAGGCCCAGCUGGUGGGAAAUGUUAAGAUGGAGGUGACUGUGGGGUGGCACGCUUAGUGUGCAAGAUGCCAGGAGCCUGUGAUGUCUUUGCAGAGUCCAAGCGGUACCACUGAGUGGGUUGACCUUCUCUCCCCCUGUCCACCUCGGGAUGUCAUCAUCUCACCCCUUAGUCCACUCCUGGACUGGAAAACCAGGGGUUGAAAAUCCCACACCGGCACUCCGCAUGGGGUUUUGGGAAACCUGUGUGAGUGCGUGUGUGUGUGUGAGUGUGUGUGUGUGUGUGAGGGAGGCACAUGUCCCAGGGAGGGGCCAUAUGUGCACAGCAGCUCAGCUGGAGUUCCCUCCUCCCUCUCCAAAGCAUCCCUGACACUCUAGGUGAAUAUUUGAAAGACAGGAUCGGGGCUUUGGUUCGAGAGUCUCUUUGUACGGUGCUAACUGGUUUCAGGGCUGUAAUUAUCUCUCCAAGAGAAGCUGUAAAUUGGAUUAAGGCACUGAGUUGCAGCUGAGUGAGCUCCCUCCAUUGCCCCACCUGGUGGGCUGCUGAGCGAUAACAAAAAAUGCCGAGAAAUCGGAUUUGGAUUCUGCUUCACACUCAUGGCUUCCUUCUGGAAAAAAUGAAAUUUUUCCGGCAGAAAGGGCUGGCAUGGGUUUGCUGGCAGUAUCAGUCCUGGGCUCGUAUCAUCUGCUGGCACUCUUCCGGAAACGCGAUCCCCUCCGUUAUCAGAGAGAAAUAAAUAAAUAAACAGCAGGAGAUGUUUUGGCAAGGAAGGAGGAAUCGCACCGAGAGGCGUGCGCAUCCGCACACACAUGCACGCACACAAAUACACACACACACACACACACUCACCUCGGCACGGGGUCCUCACAGCCCGAGCUGCCUGCCGCAGGCAGAGGAGAGAGAGGGAGGUGGCAGCACAGGCACAGGGAGAUGGUUGGGUUUGUUGUUUCGUUUUUAAGUUUUUGUCCUCUGGGCUGAAAGAAAAGCCCAUUUUUAGCAGCUUGUAUUGAAGGCGUAGAAGACAAAGGUGCCUUAUUUGUGAUACAAAUUCCUGCCUGCAUUUGGGGGACCCCUCCAGCGUCUCUACCUGUGCCCCAGGAAUAAGGCGCUGUGUGGAACGCGGCUGAGGACAGCUGGGGGGGACACACCAGCAUCCUAAGGGGGUGCCUGGGGUCCAGCCUGGAUGUGGCAUCCACCAGCACCAGGAGCUCGGUGCAGCGCUCUGAGAAGGGCAGCGCAGAUCACAGCAAGCACGGCAGUAUAACCAUCGAAUAUGGCAAGCAUCAGGAACAGACUGAAGCAUGGAGAAUGGCAGAGCUCCAUCCCCACAGAAGGAGCACAGGGUGAUGCUCCCUCUGCCUGCAGUCCCAUGCCUGAGUCUUGGUGGCUCCCACCAGGAUGCAUGAAACAGGCUCAGAGAAUGACUGAUGAGUACUGAUCAAUGCUAUGAGAAAAUCUGGAAAUAAUGAAACCAAUAUCAAUCCCAUCGCUAACCCUCAGCCAAGAGACUGAAUGUUCCAGCUGGAGAAGGGUAGUGUUUGUGGUUCAACUGGAAAUCUUGGUGAUAUCCAAUGCCAACCCACCUCCCCACUCCUCCAGCUGAGGGAUCCCACAUGCUCCUAUCCACACAGAUGGACCUCAUUCACAGUGCAGCCCAGUGGUUCCCUCAAGGAAGGACUUUUUGACUGCUAAGCCCCAGUCCUGCCCACUCGUGGCUGUGAGGAGGCCAAGGCAAAUCACUGUGGGUGAGUGUCCUCUUGGCAGUCCUCUGUUUGGGAUUGCUCUCCCCUCCUUGGCCAGAUAGAGGCAUUCCUGGUCAUGAAAAAUCAUUUCUGACCAAGAAAAGCACUGUGCUCCGUGACUCUGGAACUCAGCUGAAAUCUCACCUGCAGCACGGAGUAGCACAGAACAGGCAAGGAGGAGAAGAGAGCCGUGUCUGGAUGGACACAGCUUUUAAAGAAGAAAGCAUGCUUAUUCUGCAUAUUUUUCUGUGAUCAGCCAGACCAUGAAGAAGGGACUGUGGGUUGUGCAGUGGCUGGAUUUCCCCCUCCUUUGUUUUGCUUAGCAGAAAAUACAGGUGUUCGUUUGUUUGUUUUUCUGCUCGGUUUUGGAAUAGAAAUGAUUUUCUCUUCAACUGCCAAAUAUUCUUCGGACCAGAGAGUCAGAUCCCUGCUCCGAUGAGCAGCACGAUAGAAAGACACAUUUCCCCCUAUUUUUCUCUGGCUUUGCUGAGGGGCUCCCAUCUGCAGGGCCAUGUUCGUCCCUCCCAGGCUCUGUGGGAUCAAGCAGAAGCCUCCUCACUGCCCAUUCUCACCACAUCCCUUUGUUCCCAGGAAGCUACAGCAACCCCAUUUUGGAAGCAGGUGGGAGGAGGGAAAACCCUUUUUUUUUUUUUUUUUUCUUUUUUCCCCCUCCCCUUUUAUUCUUUUGCAAGCUUUAAUUAUCGCAGGACUGAAUUUGAGCUGUUCCUGUCUUCUUCCUUCCCAUCAUUUCUUGGGCAGCGUUUCUAACAAAGGCCUGUGGUUUGGGUUUGAGGAUUUUUUUUCCUUUUUCUUUUCCCCUCCAGAGAUCUAAGGGAUGUAAUGAGACACCAGCACCCUCUCCUCCCUGCAGCCCCCAGCCCAAGCCCUCCGCCUUGCCAGCCCUUCCCGGCUGUCCCGCUCCUGGGGGAGGGAGGGCACCCGACCUGGACGGUCCUCCUGGGAGGUGAGCACGAUAGAGUUACAAAGGGGAGCAGCUUGCACACUGCCUCCACUUUGAUGAGGCAACAUUUAAUUAUAUCUAUCUCCCCCAAGCCUUCUCCCAGUGAAAAAGAUCUCCUAUUGUCUAGGCUAAUUUGUCCUUUUUGCUUAAUUCCCUAACCUGUGGGCUAAACCCUAAGCUCACGUUACUCCACCACCCAUCUCUCCCACUCCACUACCAGAGCCAUACAGUGCAAUGGGAGGAGUCUGUGUGUCCUUCUUACACUCCUUGUGCCCUGGGGCAAUAACGGGAUCUGAAGCCCUUCAGGCACAAAAGAAAUUGGGGCAUGUCAAUUAGCUGUGGCCAUGGAAUCAUAGAAUCACAGAAUCAUUAAGGUUGGGAAAGACCACUAAGAUCACCUAGUCCGUCAACUCAUCGCCACCAUACCCACUAACCACGUCCCUCAGUGCCACAUCUCCAGGUUUCCUGAACACCUCCCGGGACAGUGACUCCACCACUUCCCUGGGCAGCAAGGUGUCUAAAAACCUCCAGUGAUUUGUAUUCCACAGCCCCAGGUCUACCGGAGCUGGCAACAAGGAGCAGUGCCAUACAUCCACACCAUGCCAAGCAUAGUCUCAUCACUUGGGUCAGCUGGGGAGGAUGGAGGAGAGCAGGACUCAGCCACCCAGACACCUCUCCAAGCUGUCUGACUGAGGCUCUGUACCAGGGGGACAAAGGCCAAGAGCCUUCCUUAUGGGAAGCCAAGGACCUGCACCUUUACCCCUCACUUUGCUCCAGGAGAAGGAAGGCAUCAUCUUGAAAAGGCAGAGCAAGGGGCUGGCAUACACGGAGGAUGGGCUGGAGAAAGACAGCAGAGGGGGGAGGAGAGCAGAGCAGUUGCCAGGUUGACUUGAGCCAGAGUCUUUCAUGGGGGGGCAAGGGGCAGGGAACAUGGAGGAUCAACAUUGUCUUCUCCAAAGAGGAGAAGAAAAGAGUGAGAGAAUGCAGGAGGAAGACAAAGGGAAAUGGGACUUGUUGGGGAAAAGAGGGGGACGCUCAGGGAUUGAAACAGGCUGGGGUCCAACUUAAUAAGAAGCGAACCAAAACAAAACCCAAACAAAAAGUGACUCAAGUUGGCUGUGGGCACCCCCUCCCCCUCGCCGCCGUCCCCAGAAGGCAGCAGAGCUGCGGCUUCAAACAGCCGCCUCACAAUAAAUUCAUGGCAGCCAGGGCCGGGAAACAGGCUGCUGCAAUUUAAAGGAAGCGUGGAUUUGCAUAUUGAAUUAAAAUUAAGAGCUAAUUAUGCAAAUAAAUUAUGACAUUUGGCAGGAGAAUUUGCUUCAAGAUCAUUUAUUACGUUCUUUUUAUAACAGUGCGAGCGUUUAACGGUCAAAGACAAUAUUUUAAAGGAAAAUUAACGCAAGAUUAUUAACCUAAAAACAAUUCCACAUUAAUGAGAUGUAUUUCUCUUCAACUUCUCACACCUGGCUGCCUAUUGAUGCCCAGCCAGGACUGUCUCUCAAUAAUUGGCAUUUUUUUUUGCAGGCAAAUAUUGAAUGAGGUGGUGAACGUUGCUUUGGACAAACUCGCUCAGGAAAAUUCCUUCAGGGUUUUAGCUUGCUGGUCUGUAAAGGGAAGUUGUGAAGGUCAAACAUGUUUCAUGUCGUUCUUCUGUGUGCUCGGACUGACCAGAUCCGCAUGCACUUGGGAGAGGACACAGCACUGCCUACCCUAUCUGCAUGAGAAUAAAAGCUCUCCUGCGAAAAUGCGUAUGAUUGCUUUUUGGAAGAGAUGUAAAAUGGAGGUCUUAGCCAUUUGUGGUCACUGAAGAUCCCAUGGCUUCUUUUCAGAAGAUCGGAGCCAUUAGCCCUGGUGUCUUGGCUCCCUCCAGCCCCACUAACUGCUGCUCACCUGAUGCUGGGACCUUCAUUUGGGGCCACUUUCUGCCCUGCCUGUCCCAGGGCUGUGCAGUUCCAUCAGUGGCCAGGGCCCUCCCACAAGAAGGAAGUCUUCAAGAAAAUUCCACUUUGAGUGAGAAAAAUUCCACAUCAGGAAUGUUUGCUGGGACCCCGAGGGAUGCAAAUGGCCCUAAGACUCCAAAGAUGCCCAUUCCCAGCCAUUGUCUGAGAAGAGUACCCAGCCCAGGCUCAUCCCACACAGCUGCAGUGGUUGACUAUUAGCUGGGAGUGCAGCUGUGUGUCUACAGGGUCAGCUCUUGUCCAAAUAGGAAAAAGACCCUGCCAUUUGCUUCCUGAUGCAGAAGUAUCUGAAAAAGGCGCUUGGCAAACAAAAUUGUAGAUGUCUGCUCUUCUCUCUUGCUUUGCCUCUCUCCAUGCUGCAGCCAGAAGGGAUGCUGGGGAGCAGGAAUGCUACUUUUGCAACCUGUUUUCAGGAGAUCCCAGCUUGGGUGUUACAAGGGAGCUGCAGACAGGAAUGACUGAAGGAGAACAAAAGUCGUACUCAAAUGGCUUAGGUAGCAAGAAAGAAUUUUCCUCCAAGACAGUAUUCUGAAGCUUUGCCAAGGAAGAUGGGUAAUGUCCUUCAAUCAUCUUCACUCCUCCUCCUUUGCCUCUAGCCCUGGCUAUUCUCCACUGCGGUCUGCUCACCCUUCGGGCAGCAUGGGAGGUAAGGACCCAUAUCUGGUUUGUUACCGGGUUUUCCUUUGGUUCCAUUUCUUUAUCUCUGCAUCUUAAAUGUGCCCUCAUGGAACCAUCUGCCUUUGUUAGGAGUUUCCUGAACUCCACACAGUGCCAAAGCUGGAAGGGACUUCUCCCAGAGCUCAGUGGGCAUUUCGCUUCUGAGGCAGCUGGAAGGCUGCCUGUCAUGGUUCUUCCAUCUCCUCUCCCUGGGGAUUUUCCCCCUCUCAGGUUCAAGGUGGAGAGGACAUUCCCUGCUAAAUCAGUCCUGGCGCACAGCGCACAAUGGCAUGCAGAGCCAACCGCAGGUAACAAAUUGCGUUGCAAUAAAUGAAGGGUUUGGAGCCAGACAAAAUGUGCGACAUUCGAAGUUCUCAGCUCUCCUCCCUCAGAAAGGCAAUCUGUGACUUCUGGGCCCUCCUUAAUGACCCAGAGCCGGAUGGAAAAUAAUAUUAAUAAUAAUAAAAGAAACAAAGAAGGGGCUGGCGCAUUUUUUAAAUAAAGAAAUUUCCCUCAUCUUGCGGUUAAUUUAAAAGGUUUAUUUCUUGAAAUGAAUCCUCUUCAUCAAAUCUCCGAUCCUUGAAAAUCAGUGCAACCUGCCUCUGUGGAUAAUGAAUUGAUUUGUAAUGUAAAUUAUAUAAAACACCCUCCCCGCCAGCAUUUGUGUGUGAGUGUGUUUAAUCUAAAGCGUUUAAGUCUGAAAAUGAGCUUCUCCAUCAAAAGUCUCGAUUCCAUUUACAUUUCUUGCAUACGAGUCAAUUUGUGUCUGACCCAGUCUAUAAAUCACUGCCAAGGAGUGCUGUGUCUGUACCUCUCCUCUUCCCCCACCCCCUCCCCUCAUCCUUCCAUCCUUGCACAUGCUAUCUUCAAAACGGCAUCUUCAGAUGCCGCCUGUAAACAGCCCCCAUUCUUUGGCCAAAUGCUGGCUAGAGGAUGAGGGACCCUGGCCCCAAGAGGUGUGCAGUAUGGGCAGCAGCAGCCAGGCGAGAAGUCCUGCUCUGCUGCCAGCUGCUCAGGGAGAGUCUCCCAGGGGAAGGUGCCCUCUCUCUCGGUGGCUCCUUUCCAACACGUGGUUGCUUGGCCACCAAAGGAGUCCAUGGCUGAUGCAUGUUACAGGUUACGACCAGGUCUUCUGCAAGUGUACAUUAACAUGGCCUUGGAAAAUCCACCAAGUGGGAAUCAUUUACACCACCAGAGUCUUUGUCUCAGUCUUUGUCUCCCCACGUUUCCCAUCAUGCCAACAUUCAUCCUUCACCUCGUCCUAUUGGAAUACCUCUUUAGCUUUCCUUCUGCGUACUGAAACCAGUGGACCCUCCCCUUGCUGGUUGGAUCUCUGUACGAUAAGUUCACAAGACCCUUUGGAAGAGCAGGGAACAUGCAAACAGUAAUAUCUUCAUCUAGAGGGUCUUGUGACAUCUGCGUGAUAGUAUUAAAGGUGGCUUAGUAGUGAUGCACCUGAGGACAAGCAGGCCAGGAGGUCAUUACUUCAGGUCCCUUCUAUGAAGCAUCAGCAGUUCUGAGGCUGUGAAAUGCAGCUUUCACAGGGCUAUGUUCCAUGGCUAACACAGAAUGCGAAUGGGACCAACAGCCCAUCAUUGACUCUAGUGGGGAAUUUUCUGACACGCUUAUUUUUCUGCUCUAUUUUUUUUCCUUCAGGAAAGACACAAUUGAAACUGAUUUCUAACGUUGGGAGAAAAAUGGAAUCAAGUUUGGAAAUAUUUCAUGAGUCCAAAUUUGAAAAAAUCCAAUAUAUUGGUGUGAAACAGCUUACUGCUCUAGUUGCGGUAUGGAUGCAGUAAAAAGAAAAUUGGAAUCUGAAAUAACGAUUAGGAAAUUGCUCAAAACAAGUUGAGUUUGAUCAACUGAUAUUUCCUGGUUUUGUUUUUGUUUUUUUUUUUUUAAUUUGAAGAGUUGGUGUUGGCUGGCUGGCUGGCUGGAGUUAUAAUGGUGAACUUGCAAAACUGUUCAAGACUUGUGAUGGAAAAUAUUUUUGAAUUCUAAAAAUUUGUUCAAAGCAAGGAAACAAUUUCCUACCCAAAUUCCACUAAUUCUUUCACAAGCAGUGAUUUUUUUUUUUUAGCAGACAGAUUAAGAAAGUCCAGGACAGAGGGCUGGAAUCACAUCUUCGCUGAUAGAAAAUACAUACUGGAAUAGUGCAGGAUUCUCCCUGGGUUUGGCAGUCUGGGGCAGGGACUGUUGCAGAUUUACUCAGAUGAGAACACAGAACACAUCCAGAUCUCCAAAAGAGCAUGAGAUGAAGAACAGGACCAGCAGUCACAUGCCCUACCUGCAGCCAUUGGUGUCCUCUCUCUGCAAACUUUGACCUUCCCAAAUUCUGCUCUCUCUGAGCCAUCCCAGCAGAGGGGGAUUCAAUCCUUUGCCACUGGCUACUUCAAAAUGGGGAAGUGAAACAUCAGACAAGUGAUGUGAGAACUCAGCUCGAGCUGGAAAGUCAAUCUGAGGUGAUGGUCUUCUGAAAAGCCUCAGUUCACAGACCUACUACUGGUAAGGUGUUUCCUCUCUGUGCCUUGUUAUUUACCUUUGAAAAAGGGUUAAUGCUUGUUUUCUCCUAGAUUUUCAUACUGUAGAUAUAAGGUCUUUAGUGCACGGUCUGUAUGUUACUGUAUGAGCAUACAGCUCCAAGCACAACAGGGAUUCUGGCCUGGGAGAGGCCCUUACAAACUGCUCUAAUACAAAUAGGAGGAAGAGUUUUUCCUCGAGAUUACCCCGGGGGGAUUGAGGUCAGACCUUCAGUGAAGGAAGACACAAACCUAUUACCAGUUUCUGUGGGGACUAAUACAGUUUGCACUUCGUUAGAGGAAUUCAAAGUGAUUCGUACACAUUAAUUACUCCUUGCAGCAUCCCAGCUGGAUAAAUAUUAUUACCUUCAUUUUACAGAAAGCGUAACUGAGAUGUAGAGAAGUUCGUUUGUUUGACUCCAACUGUACAGCGCGCCAACGGCAGAAGCCAGGAAUAAAACAUGAGAGAGGACUGCCAGUCCCACCUCCCUCUAAACUAUGGGUCCCAAAUCUUUUUUGCCCAAGCGAAGGGAGCAGCUGCAUCCCCCGGCUGGGCUGGGCACUGCCGUGAGGGCUCUGCACACCGAGAGCAGUGCAUGCGGCACCGCCUGGGAGGCACCGCUCCAAGCCUCAGCCUGCAUCGCCUUGCACAGACAGGAGGAGGAAAUGAAAGUGCAAUUAGCUGGAAACAAAUGAAUUCGUGUUGCAUAUAUUUCCCAAGCUGAUGGGUUGGUGAAUGAACCACUCGUUAUUUCAUGAAGCAGCAUCUUUAAAGGUCUGUAGAACAACUUGGGAAAAACACAGCCUUGCUGUUGUGACAUUUUUUGCAGUAUUUCCAAGCGCUGUCUGUCCCGGUUGCAGGCAUUGGUGCUUCUAUAUUUGCAUAUUUUUUUUCUCAUCAAAAGGAAUUGUUGAAGUUUUGUAGUUGUUUUAACUUCUCGCCUUGGAUAUUUCAGUUCUUCACAUAACCACAUUUUCAGUGUCAGCACGUGGCCUAGAAAGAAAAUAUUUGGUACCUUAAAUACCAAACUCUCUUCUGUCCUAUUUUCCCACCUUUCCUAUACUAUACCGUUGCUUAACAAUAAGUGCUCUCCUCUCCAAAAGGAACACUUCUUUAAAGCCAAAGGGAUUUAAAAAGGAAAGAGAGAACACAAAGCAGAAACAAAAAUACAGAACAAAAGAGCAUAAAACCGCGAGUUGGUUUUGAGUUUGAACUACAAUUUCUUCUUAUGAUUACUGGGGAAAAAAAUAACAUACCUUAAAGAAAAGAUUCCUUUUUUUUUUUUUUUUUUCCUACAAGAAAAUCUAUGCAUCCAGAAAUUUCCCAACCAUUUAUAAUCUGUCGCAUUCCCCUGUGUGGUGAGCAGAGGCACUCGGUAUUCCUCUGCCGCGGCAGAUAGGCUCAGAAGAUGAGAGCAGAGUGAUGAAGUGUGAGACCAGAAGUGUGAGCUUCCCAAAGGUGACAAAAUGGGUUCUCCAGGUAAGAGCUCUGAGGACAUCACAAGAACAAUAGUAAGCUCCGCUAUAUUAAGUAUUGAGCUCGCAUCCUGGCAGAUGCUAUUUUUCAGCCUGUGGUCUGCAGAUCCCUGGCAGAGCAGGGACUGCUGUGAGGAGGGUGGGAAAAGCGAUUUCAGCAGCGCUUUCCAGCAGUUUGGGAGCUGCCUGCUGGGGUGCUGAGCCUUCGCGGGAGCUUUUCUGGGAGUUCACAAAUCAAAGCAAGUUGAAAGGCACCGCAGCAGGAUAAUGUUCUAUUGAUCGCUUUGUUUUUGCAGAGGAUAGAUUUUGUUUAAUCUUCCUCUUCCUUAGAUUGCUCAACGCCAUUAGUUCUAUCUUCACUAAUAUCAAAGAUAAAAAAUCACUAGAGGAGAGACUUUCUAAUGCUGUUUGCACAACUUUCUGGCAGGUGAUGGCAUAGGAAACGAGCAAAGCAUGGACUUGAAAGUUUGAGCGCUUACUGUAUCCAAAACAGACUGAAAACCUAGGAACGAAGAGCCAAGAGCUGGACAGAGGGAGACAGAGAGCCCCUGUUGGUUCAGGAGCCCACCAGCUUACCCAUGGCGGUACAGUGGGGCUGCACAAGGAGCCGGCAAUGGGCAAGACAUGGAGGAACAUGGAGGCAACAUUUCCUGAAACACAGCUACUUCUGGGAUGGAAAAGCAUCAGUCAUCACACAGCAGGAUUUCUUGGAGGAGAAAUGAUAACUCUUUUUUUUUUUUUUUUUCUCCCAUUUGAACUGCAGGCUGGAAUAUAGGCCGGCAGAAUGUAAUUAUCCAGGCUGGAAUUUGGCCAAGACGCUGGGGCUAACAGCCCUACUGUUUCAAAAUAUGCCACAGUACCCUAAAUGAUCACAUCUUGCAGGAUUUGAUUUUGCAUUUCAUCCAAAACAAUGUUGGGAAGGGAAGGAGGAGAGAGGAAUGAACACAAAGCGGUCCCAUCUAACCCCGUAUCUGCUGGAAGUUUAGCCCAGAGCAGCUCCUGACAUUCACUUUCAUUUUCAGUGAAAACAUUGAAACAAGACUGAGUUUUACUCCUUUUGUAAAUUCUCCGCAAGCAGUUUCCAGCCUCCUCGGUGAAAAAAAUACAUCAACUUUCAGAAGGUAAAACUACAAUAAAGCAAGACAUUUCCAUUUAAAAGAAAAAAAAGGAAAAGAAAAAAAAAGGGAGAAGGGUAUUUCUUUCCUCUACAACAAUAUUUGAGAGAGACCUUCUCUUUUCCCUUUUUCUUUUUUUAAAGCCUGUUAGGAAAGAGGAUUAAGAUAGCUAAUGGGCGGCUUGUAUUGGCAAACAAAACUAACACCCAGACGAUUCUUUGCAUGCACAAGUGGCAGGCCCUCCAUUAGGAGAGUGGCACUGACCGCGGCAGGAUGGAGAGCACUGAGCCGCGGGGUAAACAAACCUCGGCCUGGGCCCGUGUGUGGCUCUGCCCGGAGCCCUGCCAUGGUCCUCCCCAGAUAGCUCCAAAUGGUCUCUGUUGUUUGGAAUGCUAUGCAAAUAUUGGCAGAAGCACGUACCGCGGAUCCGACCACAGCCCAACUUCGGGGAACACAGCGUUGGGAUUUGCCGUUGCUCUUUUUUACUUCAGUGAAUAAAGUUUAUUUGCAGAAUGAACGGUGCCCGCAGCUGACAGGCUGCUGGCUAGCUCAUGCCGAAUUUGGCCAGUCACCCGCCAACAGGGAAAAUCUAAAUGGAAAUGGCAAUUUUGAAAAGUCAAAAGGUUUCGCUUUAUACGUCGGGAAAAGAAUAAUUGCAAUUGAUUUUUCAUGUUGAGAUGGUCUUCCCUGUGCGAAAUAGCUGCUUUUUUAGAAAAGACAGUGGCCAUCAACGUAUCUCAUUCUGCCUGGAUAACUUACAGCGCCCUUCUGUUUUACUGAAACAUCUCAGGAAAAAAAAAAAACCCUCCUCAGGUUAGCCAGAAAAAGCCAAAACUCUGGAUUUUCAGUUGGACAAAUGGAAGAAAAAGUAAUGAUUCUCAAAGUCCUAAUGAACCAACCCAGUAUUGUACUCGGUGGCACCUCUUGACGCUUGCUACAGUCAGCUCUCGUCAUGAGCCUUGCUUUAAACCUCCUCCAUGCAAAUCUCCUCCACGUAACAUCACACACCUGCAGACAAGACAGUUUUCUCUGCCAUCAGUCCCAGUAAGCAGCCCUCCGACCCGAGCAUGUCAGCUCCAGCACCUGCAGCAACAGAGGGAUGUUCAGAAGCCAGUUUGGGUGUCAGAGCUGCCAGGAGCCCAGAGGAGAGCAUGGAGCGUCCUAUCAGCUCUGUAUAGGAACCAAAACUGCCUGGCUCCCUCCUGGUUUCCAUCACAUCUCUCUCUACCAUCUUGUAAAGAAGGAAGAUAAACUGAAAUUCAGGAAACAUCAAGUUCAGUUUUUAAUUUGUAGGCAAUUUGUAUUUUACUACUGAAUAUCAAGGUAAUUCCUUUGAUUUCCCAAAAAGAUAAGCAGAUCCUAAAAAGCAGUGUGUCUUUUAGAAAGGAUAUCUGACAGGCAGCCUGCACCACAAGCAAACGAUUCCCACGUUGUGAUACGUAAUGCCCAGUAAGUUCUGCAUGAGAGCUGGAGCUGCCCACUGCACAAACACAAUUCUGCCUGCCGAGCGCCCCGCUCAUUCAUGGUACCUGUUCUGCAGUUUUGUUCCUGUUCAGAAAAAUACCAAGCCUCUUACUUGACCGAUGCGGUGCCACAGGCAGUCUGCAAACACAAACACCCUUGUUUGGAGAAGAUACGCCCUGGCUGAUUUGAAAAAUCCCUAAGCAAUGCAUUCAAAAUGAAUCAGAUUUGAUUCAUGACCGAUUGAGUAAGGACAGAGAAUGGAGGGCCCGGCACGGGUACACAAACGUGGACGAUCGUACGCUCAGUUCACUGCAGCGCAUUGUGCGCCUUCUUCCAUUUCCCUUCUUGUGAAAUUCCCAGCGGGACACUUUCCUGCGAGGGUUGUGCUGUGAGGCAGAGGGCACCAAGUGAACAUGGGAGCAAAAUCACAAAGCCACGUCCAAGGGAUUCCCUGUUGCGGCUGAAGGUGCUGACCCUGGGUUUGUGCGUGCACGUGUGUUUGCACGCUCCGCUCGCACACACACGGGAGCACGCACGCACACUGUGAAAACGUAUGUGCAUAUAUUCCCAUAUUCACAAUGAAUUGUUUAUGAGCAAGCUAUCAAGAAGGAGUUUUCACUGAAAUUAUUCAGUGAAUGACUUCAGACAAUGAAUACAUUGCAGGAAAUGGCGAUUGGCUCCAGAGCAAUCCACGAGCAGAAAAGGAGGCAAAAGCAGUUGAAUAAAUGGGUGGCUAUGAAUUACUCAUUUAGCUGCAUUAUCUUAUUGUGGUCCCAAUUCAGCAAAUGCCUAAACAUCCACUUCCCAUUAAGGGCAUGAAUAGUCCCAUUGAUUCAAUAGGGUUAUUUUCUCUGCCUUCCGUGGGGCAACUCGAAUGCUUAAAUUUAAGCAAGUGCUUAAAGUGCUUUGCUGAAUCAGGAGGUAUGUCCACGCUGUAUAUACCUGUGUUAUACAGAAGGUCAGAUUAGCUGAUCAAAGAGUCCUUUAUGCUCUUAAGAUCUAUAAAUCUGUGAAUAUAACCAGCCUUUGCUGGAAUUGCUCCUCCAUAACCUUCCCGAGCACUGAAAUUCAUCCACACCCCAAAAAUAUUAAUAAAACACUCUGUGCUUAACUCUUUUCAUAUUAUACUAAGUACGCCACUAAAUAAACCUCUUAAUAUUCCAGUAUAUUUUGCAAUGAACAUUUUCCUGGUACGCUAGAGCGAUUCCUCCUUUUGUGCCAUCCAGAACACAAUCCCCAUGAAAUACUGCAGUAAACAUUUCUCUGAGUACUACAGCAAACACUACCAGCAUUAGCAGAUUAACCAUUCCACUGAGCGCCAUAUUAAGCACACAUUUAAAUACUGAGAAAAGACGUAUAGCCUCCUCCUUCCACCGCGCCUCGUUACCCUGCCGAGAUCCAUAUUUCUCGGCAUCCCCACGCGUACCCGCGCUGCUCCCGCUCCUCUCUUUCUCUCCUCCUUGUUUUGUUCCUCCUGGGAGUGCUCUUCUGGCUGGGGAAAUCUUUCUUGGGGCAGAGGGGGGACGAAGGGAGGGCAGAUUGGCGCAUUGUUCAGCCACAGAAUCGACAGCGAAUCCACACUGCGUGCGUGGAAGUCUCUGCUCUGAUGAAGUCUGGUGAUGGAGAAAGACAGGUUACCUGCUGGUCUCCCUCCCCUGACCAAAAGAAGUACGCAGUGCUCUGAAGUAGCAGGUCUUCCCUAGUGCAGUUUGGAGUUAUAAAACAUUGUUUGGGUUUUACAGGUAUAUUUUAAUGUCAGUGAAAUUGCCAAGCACAACACCUUCAGUGGAUUCAUCCUCAGCAAGUGUUUAAGAGCCAUUGACUCGUCUCUUGUUGCUGACAAACCAUCUAGAUUCAACCCAUGGUUCUGCUCAGCUUUUCUCCUUUCCCUCCUCUCUCUCUUUCUCUCUCUUUUUUCCUCUUUUUUUUUUUUUUUUUUACUAGCAAUUUGAUGUUUGAUCAUUUGAGGCAAUGAGGCGGAGGGUAAUUUACGUUAUCAGGGAGGUAUGAGGGGUGCUGGGAACCCAGACGCAAGGCCCAUUCGCCUGCUAAAGCGCCAUCGUAAUGUAAUGAGACUCCAGUCAAGUGCAGCUAGUAAUGGAGAGGAACGUUUCCCAUUCAUCUGCCUACCUGAGACUCCACGAAGACGACAAUAACUUUUGCACGGGAGGAGCAGGGGGGGACACAGUGAAGGGGGGGGCCGGUGUCCCCACGGCACAGCUCGCUCCGGCUGGCAGAGAACUACCAUGGCCUCACUCUGGGGAGCAGAGCAACACGGCUGUGAGCUGCGGAGCAGGUUGUUGGGUGGCUCAGCCUCCCCAUCUCGGACAUCCAGCCCACACCUGGCUUUGGUCCUGACCCAUAGCCCCCUAUCCUGGCUGUAGACACACUCUUGCCUCUGUAGCACCUCUGUGAUGGGGCCUUGGAAGUGGUACCGAUAACCACGUGCCCACCACCAGCACGGACAGCAAUGCACACACUCAAGUUCUCGCAAGUGGCCCUGCUGCUCUGCACACUUUAUUUGUAGGCCGAGGGUAAUUAUAGCUGGAGGGAACCUCCUGGAUGCAGGCAGACCUCCUGGCACUUUCGGCCCAGUGCAUAGCAAAGGGUGGGUGGCAGGGGAGAGACACGGGGGCAGGAGAGAUUUGUUUCCUCUCUGUCCCAAGCUGGCUGCUUGUUCCCAGAACGCAGCCUGAGAAAGGGAGCGGGGAGCCGCCUGCUCCCCCUCACCAAAUUCCUGCCGCACGGACCCUUCCAAUUAUACCCACGUCUGAAAGGCUGCUGUCAGGAUGAAAGGCAUGGAGCAGUAAUGAACUGACGAUUAAUUUGCAGUUGGCUCACCCAGCGCGCGAUCCUCGCUCAGGCUCGCUGCGUGCGGGUGCUAAAUAUGACGAUGUCAGCAGUUGUCAGCCAGAGCUGGGGCUGCCCCUCACAUCAGCCUCUCCCUGCCACGGGCUCCAGCCUGGCCCUGGCUUCCCAGCCCAGGCAGCCCUGGGCCAGCCCCGCAGCAGCCACAGCAGCAUGUGGAAGGGGCCCCAUUGCCUGAAGGCCUGUGCAAUACACUUCACAUCCCUUGGUCACCAGAUGAUCAUCUACAUUAUUAGAGUUGGCUUCCAGUUACCAUGAUGGGAUCUAUGGGGAUCAGUUACUGUGCUGGCAACCCUGUCCACAGCAGUGGGACUGGAACUAAAUGAUCUUAAAGGUCCCUUCCAACCCAAGCUAUUCUGUGGUUCUAUGAUUCUAUGAUCUGAAAGAUAGGCACACCUUGAGUACGGACAUCUACGGCUUCAAAGAGCUGAUUAGCAGAAUAUGAAAGCCAGCUGCAAAUGGCAGAAAAGCCUGGAUUUAUAAACCAAUCACUGUACCUUCCUGAUGCAAACACUGAAGCAUACAUAUAUCUAAUCAGUGUCUAUCCCAGAAUGUGCAUAACAACACCAACACCAGCAAUUACAGUUGUGGGAUACUUACGCAGCCUGUGUGCUCUAAUACCAUAGAGUCAUAGAAUCACAGAAUCAUUAAGUUUGGGAAAGGUCCAUAAGAUCCUAUAGUCCAAUUGUUCACCUAUCACCAAUACUGCCCACUAACCACAUCCCUCAGUGCCACAUCUCCACAUUUCCUGAACACCUCCAGGAACGGUGACUCCAUCACCCCCCUGGGCAGCCUGCGCCACUGCAUUACCACUCUUUCUGAGAAGAAAUGUUUCCUAAUAUCCAACCUGAACCUCCCCUGCUGCAACUUAAGGCCAUUACCUCUUGUCCUUUUGCCCCACCUGGAGCUGGUCUGCACCUUCAUCAUGGAGACACAGACAGGCUGCCUGACAGAUUCUUCCCCUUACGACAAUUUUUCUUAGGAAGAUUCACAUCUGAGCUAUCUGUGAUGGCAUUUUCAGCAGCUUGUGCUGUUCAAAGUAGCAAAACUGAAGCCCUAGAAAAAAAAUACUCCAGAAAACUGGGCGCCUUCCCUUUUGACACAUCCUGAAAAAGCCUUCUGAUCGCUGGUUCAGAAUGACAUUUCCUUUCUAAUGUUAUUUGGAUUCUAUUAGACAAUGUUUACAGAGCUCAGUCACCAAAAUAAGCAUUCUUUUUCACAUUGAACAAGACAUUUAAUUUGAACAGAACUGAUGACUUUUUGUCCUCCCCCAGCCUGUUGAUUUGCAAAAAAAAGAAAGCUUCAGUGGAACCAAAACAAGAUUAUGGCCAGGUACGUGCAUCACUGAAAUUGCCUGCAACGCGUAAAUCUGCUGUUUGCCCACUCCCACUACACACAUAAUUUUGUUUUAUCACUUACAGUCCCGGGGUGCUCACACAACUUGGCAGUCAGUUUCCCAGCAUGAAAUCGCACCUGUCUGGAAAAAUGCAAGGAAUAUAGAGAGGCAGAACAACAUACGAAGGUGGGCUCUACUUGCAAAGCGAGCACUCGGAUGGUCUGAGGGCCAUAGCAAAACAGACAUGGUGUCAGUGUCACAGCCCCUGGUGGCCUGGCACCAUUCGAUGGCACAGAGCCUGUACCCCCGUGGGUUUUUUAUGCGCUUCACAGAGGUGAUCACUGUUGGCUGUGGGUCUCUGUGCAUCUUACGCAUCUGGCUGUCAUUUCAGGUUUUGGUUUCUGUGCUCCCUCUGCCCUGUGCUAAGCCAGGCUUGCCGGCUCCCCACGAGAGCAGUGAGCAAAGCCAGGCUCUAGUCGGGCGCCUCGACAGCAUCGGCACCACAUGGCAGGUGAUCCUGGCUGCACCGCGGUCACACGAAGCCCAAACCUGAGGGCUCCUCUGCAAAGGAGACCUGAGCCCUUUAAGGAAGAGAGGAGCAGAAAUCAAUUGUCUGCUCGCCUUCCUCCCCGGGCCCCCCUUUCUCCCUCCUCCAUCACCACCACCACCACACAUGCACCCUAUUCACCCUGCUGGAAGGUGACAUUUGCUAUUAACCUUAUAUUGGGCCAUUUUGUAAAUCAAUGUCACUUACAUUUAAUAACAAGUGUAAUCAAAGGAAUUAUGCAAAUUUAAUUUGAUGCUUCUUGAAUUAUGCAAAUCUGCACCACAUAUAAUGGCUUCUGACAUGUGCCCAGUUGGAGAACGUUCCAUUACCUCCUCUCUUAUUACCCCUAUUAUUAUUUUUAUUUUUUUAUCCUGUGGUGGGGGGGAGGGAGAAGGGAGGGAGCGGCAGUUAGGCUCGGAGGCAGGGGGGACAAGUGAGUGCGGUGGGAAGAGAAGGGAAAGAAGAGGGGUGGUAGAGGAAAGCGCUCCUUUGCCUGCAUUUCGAGUAGCAAAGCCUCCUGAAGGCAUUUCUGUUAUUGUUAUUGCAAAGCAAGGAGAGCGGGGCGGGAGGGGGGGGAUUGGUGGUGGGGGGGAAUCAUUUCCCAUGAAUGGCUUUGCAGGCAAUAAUACUAUAAGCCUCUGAUUCUAAAUUACUGCCCUUCCAGUCCUAUCUCCAGCACAAUAUUACUCUCCUCGGCCUCCUCUUCCUGAAUUAUAAGGCAAGCUGGGGGAGGGUGAGAGAAGAGGGGAGCAGGACCCAGAGUGGAUUACGCAGGGCAAAUGGGUGGAAAAGGGGGUAGAUUUUGUUGCUCCAGGGCCACCCCAGGUGGGGCGUUCAGUCUGCUGGAGAAUAACUCCUUUUUUUUUUUUUUUUUCUUUCUUCCCCUCUAGGUUUUCCCCUCACUUGCUUAUUUCCUUGCAUGUGACCCUGAGAUCAGAAGACAGAUAUGCCACAAACUGCUGUAUCUUCUCAGAAACUUGUGGCAUCAACACCCAGUAGUAACAAGGCUUCCUCCCUUUGCAAGAGCUUGCGGUCUACAGCACCACAAGUCAGAAUGGACCUGCCUCCUCCUACAUCACUUUUUCUUGUUAGAGAGGAUUCAGCGAGCAGAGCUGGGCCACAUUCUCCUCUGCUGUACUACUCACAGCAACUGCAGAGUGACUCUCUGCAGGACAGUUGAUACAGUGCGGCCUUAGGCAAAAGCAAUCCCACCUGUGUCUUGGCGUCUUCAUGCUUGCACAGCACAGACAGAGAGAACUUCAU
ensembl:lncRNA